rnacentral:tRNA from 2 species
GGGCUCGUGGUCUAGCGGUUAUGACGUCGCCCUUACAAGGCGAAUAUCGCCAGUUCAAAUCUGGCCGGGCCCA